GAACUGCGAUAAGUAAUGUGAAUUGCAGAAUUCAGUGAAUCAUCGAGUCUUUGAACGCACAUUGCGCCCCCUGGCAUUCCGGGGGGCAUGCCUGUCCGAGCGUCAUUGCUGCCCUUCAAGCCCGGCUUGUGUGUUGGGUCGUCGUCCCCUCCGGGGGACGGGCCCGAAAGGCAGCGGCGGCACCGCGUCCGGUCCUCGAGCGUAUGGGGCUUUAUCACCCGCUCGAUAAGGACCGGCCGGGCGCCAGCCGGCGUCUCCAACCUUUUUUUCUCAGGUUGACCUCGGAUCAGGUAGGGAUACCCGCUGAACUUAAGC
rnacentral:misc_RNA from 1 species